CUGCUGCAGCCAUUUAAAAUGACCUUAGACCAUUUCACCCAGCUGAUGUGCAGCUCCAGCUUUGCUGACAGCCACAUUGGUGGAGAUUGAACUUUCAUAGCCCGGCUCCCACCGAAUAAUCAAUCAAAUCUGUCUCAUUUCCAUCAGUAGGUCACUUCACCUCCAGAAAUGAUGCCUAAGGAGUGCAGGAGACAUGCACUGUACCUUGGAGUGUGCACAGACACACACGCUGUCCUUUCCCAACUGCAGCUGUUCUGGGAUGAGCCGGUGUCUCCUCUUCAUUCCCUUUUUGCUACUAGUAUUAUUCUGCAGCAUGGCUGUGAAUGUGGAUUAGGUGUGCAAGUUGGCUGCAGCUGCACCUCCUGCUCCUGUCUGUGCUGCAGUGUAAUUCCAGAUCGUCUGACCACAGCCUGGGCUUCUCUUGCAAGGGAAGAACAACAGCCUUCCUCCUCUGCCAUGCAGAGAUCACAUGCAGUCAAUACCAGCCUCAGUUCUUAGGAGAACUGAGCUCAAAAACCCCAACGUGAAGCAGUAGAGCAUCUGAAUUUGGGUUCUACCAGCCAGGACUGUAUCCCAUAGUGUGCAGCCAUGGAGAAUCCACCUUUACAUGGCUCGGGAGCAUCCCUGACUGAGAAUGCAGAGCUGCCAAGCAGUCAGGAAGGGGUUAAGGGGCAACUUGACCCGGGGCUUUGCAGGCUUAAAAGGAAGGGGCGGGAGGGGUUCUUUCUUUCCUUAAUGGGGGGAAGAUGGGGAGGUGUCUGCGGCUCUGCAGAGCUGGAGGUUAGCGUGGCUUUUUCCAUGCCGAAGUUCUAGUUGGACUGCAGUGAGCCGUUGUCUUAAACCUCAGGUACUACAGCACUUCUGUUCUCCUUUAGUGCACGACUAAGCCUGCAAAAAAGCCUGGGUUUCUCUGUUGCUUCGUCUGUCCCUGAGAGGCUGGUUCCAAGUAAAUACAGCGAUUUUGUAUGGGGUAAAUGUGCUUAUGUGCAAACUGCAUGUUGUUCUGGAGGGCCCAGGGGAGCUGUGGGUGUAGGAUGCAAGGCUGAAAAACCCCAAUUUCAGGUGUUUUGUUUGUUCUAAUUGGCUGAUACUGUAUGUAAGUGUGGGCCAACCUGACUCCUGCUGCAAGAGGUAUAAAUCUCCUUAAGAGAUUGUCCAGUAACUCCCCUUAGACUAGCAGCAAAUUGGAUCUUUCAAGACUUACUGUCUCCCUUUCAGCUUUAUACCUUUAUGCAUUUUGUUUUAUUCUGUGUUGAAAAUCUCUCUGUUAGUCCUGGGUAGGAGCCUUUGCUUUUUCUCUCCUUACCUUGCCAAGCACAAAAACCCUCAGAUGCCAGAAGUCUGCUGGAGCCCCACUCAAUGCUCACACAUCUCCUGAAGUGAUUUCCACCUCCAGAGAACUCUUCUGUUCUCAGCUAUGAUGAUGUGGUGUCACAUCAGUCCUGCAGCUGUGACUCCAGCUGCUCUUUCCUGGACAGUGA
rnacentral:lncRNA from 1 species